UACGGAGGGGACUAGCGUUGUUCGGAAUUACUGGGCGUAAAGCGCACGUAGGCGGAUUUGUAAGUCAGGGGUGAAAUCCCGGGGCUCAACCUCGGAACUGCCUUUGAUACUGCAAGUCUUGAGUUCGGGAGAGGUGAGUGGAACUGCGAGUGUAGAGGUGAAAUUCGUAGAUAUUCGCAAGAACACCAGUGGCGAAGGCGGCUCACUGGCCCGAUACUGACGCUGAGGCACGAAAGCGUGGGGAGCAACAGG
rnacentral:rRNA from 1 species